rnacentral:misc_RNA from 1 species
AACUUUCAGCAACGGAUCUCUUGGUUCCGGCAUCGAUGAAGAACGCAGCGAAAUGCGAUAAGUAAUGCGAAUUGCAGAAUUCCGUGAGUCAUCGAAUCUUUGAACGCACAUUGCGCCCCCCGGCUUCCCGGGGGGCAUGCCUGUCCGAGCGUCAUUGCCAUCCCCUCAAGCUCCGCUUGGCUGGUUGGGCCUGACGUCCCCCCGUGGCUUUGCGCUGGGGGGAUGGGCCCGAAAGGCAGUGGCGGCUCCCGGCGGGUUUGGUCCCUUGGGGCGGUGAUACAUGGGUUGUCAUCUUCCACCGCUCUGUUGGCCACGCUCCGGGGGUUCCGUCGAACGAUUGGUCUUCCCCUUUAGGUUGACCUCGGAUCAGGUAGGGAUACCCGCUGAAUUUAAGCAUAUCAAUAAGCGGAGGCU